UUGCUGGUGAAAGUCCAGCCACAGGAAUUGGCUAUUUACCUGUGUAGUUAUAUCGGACAUCCAUUCAGGUGACUGGAUGGGUGAAAGCUCCGAAGUAAAAGCACUUGUGCAAAGUGCGAGCAACCUAUCAGGUUGUAGCAUAA
rfam:Candidatus Altiarchaeales archaeon WOR_SM1_SCG NODE_218_length_1992_cov_5715.18_ID_947, whole genome shotgun sequence.